UCUGUCAUACGCAACUUACAGUCACCACUCUGCUGGGAUUUAUAUUCGCCAGUAAGGUAAGUCAUUGAAAUGUCUGUGAAAAUAAAAAUGCAGCGUUGCGCAAUAAAAUAUGUAUACAAAAAUAAACGCUGAAGAAGUGUUUGUACUUAUCGCAACGCAUUGAGACUAACUACUACGUUUAUAGAAUAAAAUUGAAAACAAUUUACUAAUUUUCUUGUUAUAUUCUGCGAUAUAUUUUUGAUUUUAAGAGCGAAUACAUAGAUACUGAGAUUAUUACAAUAUCGAUUUAAUACGAUUCUGUGUGUAAAACUUACUCGAUUAAUUAUAAUAAUAUAAUUUCAUAUUUUAUGGUACACAAUUUUAAUAUUGCCAAGUAAAACAUUAUUAUAGGUGGCAAUCGUUCACAAUAAUAAAUUAUUAUUUUUAAAAAAAAAAAAACCUGUUCAACAUUCGUAACUAUUUCCAGGCGUAUUUAGUGAUGCGAGGAGAGGAAAUACACGACGAAGACGGACAUAUAAAAAGCAUCAAAGUCACCGGCUGCAGUAGGAUGUUGAGUAAACAGACGAAAAAUUCGAACAAAGCGAACAACUCGACGUUCGGUGGCUUAGAAGAGUCGAGUACCGAUUUCGUAUUGACGGAAACGGACGCGCAAGUGAGUUUUAAGAUGUUUAAAUUUGAUUAUUUUGGAUUAUAAUUGGAAUAUCGACCGAUUGUGAGAAACCAAGACCUAAAAUGUAUUCAGUUUGCAGGGUUCGUAAGGUGAAAGCGUAUUCUGCGCUUUUAUAUAAUAAUAGAUAGGCCACACAUCAAUAAAAUAUAUACUGCAUACAACAUAUUAUUAUUAUGAGGGUGAGAGGCUAGAAGUCGAGCAUAUUUUGUAUUUUCUGUGCUCAAACGGACACACAUUAAAUUCUGUUAGACACUUAAUAGAGUAAGAUUUUUUUGUCUACUAUAAAAUAAAUGGUAAAUAAUUGAGUUAUUGGAUUAUAGAAAAUAUUCUCAAGAGUGAGCGAGGGGUUGUCGGAGAAAGUCUAAAAAUUAAGCCGAACGAUUGGUCUACCUGUGAAGUUGUUUUAAGGGGGCGAGGGGUGCAAAAGCAGUGAUAAUUUACUAGAAAAUUCCUCAUUAGUAUAAUUCAAUUUUCAAUGGGUUUAUAAACGAUUUCAUAACGAUUCUUGAUAAUAAUAUUUAUAUACCGAUAAAUUAAAAUAUAAAAAUAAUAUCUGUAUUAAUUUCUAUAUUAUUAAUAAGACGUAAUAUAACAAAGAAAAUCGACGUAGAUACUUCGUGUCAUAGGUGUGCCACUGUUUUAGGGAAAAAGUUGAAAGGUACAAUAUAAUCAUAGCUAGGGCACGGAUUUAUAUGCACAUCAAAUUUAAAAAAAAGUGUUUAAAAACAUUAAAAAAAUCACUUAAAAAAUAUUUAAAAGUGCAAUAAAGGUAGUACUAGAACAAGUUCAAUUAAAAAUAAACGCCAAAAAAACCAAAAUAUUACUAGUAGAUAAACGUGGUAAAGAAAUGCAGAGAACUAUCAGCAUAUAUGACACAGCUAUUUAAGAAGUUAAACCAUUCUGCUAGGUAACCACGUCACGCAGGACAAUAAAUACGCAACAUAAAUAAAAAGAAGAUUAGCUUUGGUUAUGCAAGCAUUCAUUAAGAAGCCAAAUCUCUUAAAAAGCAGACACUUAGCGAUUGCAAUUAGAAAGGUAUUUAUUAAAACGCAUGUUUGAAGUGUAACGUUACGUGGUAGAGAGCCUUGGACUUUAAGCACCCUAGACAAAAAGAAGAAUAGAAGCAUUAGAGAUGUGGACACGGAUGAAAAUGAUGAACGGGUAUUCCAGAUGUACGCAUCAAUCGAAUUACGAUCGAUAUCGCGGAGUCGAGCGCACUUAGGAAUUUCCACACGUACUCGAGCCGCAUUUAACCGGGGGCUUAAAGGAAAUUACCGAAAAUCACGGCGACGGUAAAUACGCCGAGAACGCGUUUAUGGUGGCUGACUACAAUACAUAUUAUUAUUAUUAUGAUUAUUAUUGUAUACCUAUUAUAGUAACGGCCGCCGUCGUUGUCUGUACACGAGAUUAAGCGAUACGGGUCGACUCCAUCGUAAUCAUAUUUGAACAUAAUACGCAUAAAUAGGCAUGUACGACGAGAUUACAAUAUCGGAUUAAAGAUAUAGACAACGUGUUGUAAGUGUAACGGGUAUCCCUAAUAACGGGUCAUCGAGUUUACAGCCGUUUUGCCGAACGACAGCCGAGGUCCCGACGAUCCCGUAUGGUAUUAUAAAUAAUGUAAGACAUUACCUUAUAUCGUAUUACGAUUAAAACCAUCAUCGCGGGUCCACGGAUUCCAAGCGCACGCGCGCAUUUGCCGUAUGACGAGUCCUAAGGUACUCUGUGCCACUGGUAUUUUGAAUUCUACGUCUGUAUACCGCGGGUAGGUAUAGCGGCUCAUCCGCGGGCGUUCCGCACAUUUAAUAUUGUUACUCUCCGGCUGAGUGCAGAGCUGGAGGAUCUAUACACGAGACAUUUUGUAAAGCACGUUAUUUUAUGCUGUAGCUUGGAUGAUUUUUUAUAUACUUUGUGUUUUCAUCAAAAUAUGCGUGUUUUAUUCAUUUAACCUGAUUUAUCUUAAUUUUAAACAUUUAGAUAACUUAUUGAAAAACGGAAAUGUUUUUAAUAAAUCAGUAUCCUUUAAAAAUUACAUUUUACAAGGAUCCCCUUAAAAUAAAGGGUCCAUUUACCUUACACCCGUCCAGAAAUUUGCUGAAUCGUUGAAGUGCGGUAUGCCUUUGUCGCUGUAUAUCACGCGUGAGACAGACAGAGAAGACAAAUGUUAGUGACGAGGUCCUUUAAAGGAAAUUACAAUAUAAUUAAUACCGAACGUCGAUUACGGAAGAUGUACUCGUAUUUACUUUGAUGACUAUGUUUCUGAUAGUCGUAUAUUAUAUAGGAUCUUCCAAAUUUCAUAUUGUAAUCAAAUUUCAGUGGUGCAUUAUUUGUUUGGUGGCACGGCAAGCGGCUUUUGAAUAGUGCUCCUCUAGUAAUUGUUUUGUUACAAAUAACCUUUAAAGAUUAAAAUUCAAGUGAACUUGAUGUCGGUUUUUUUCCCCAUAUACGGAAUGUGUGGAAACAAAUUUGAAAAAAUUCUAACUUUUAAGUGAAGUUAUUUAAAAUGGUUUUAAAUAAUAAAAUAAUGGUUGGAAAAAGAAUCAAAAUCAAAUUAAUCAACAUUCUCGUGAUUAGAUAAUCGCUGUUUAACGUUAAAGUAACCACCCUGUAGUCGGAUAAUAUAUAGUUAUUUCAUUAUAUUUUUACGUGGUUAAGCGAUUUUUAAUGCGUUUCAAACACGCAAAGUUUUGAAACUCUAUAAAUUUAUAUAUUAUAUGUUAUUUUUUAUGUUUAUACAUAUUAUAUAUUGUAUAUUGUAUAAACUCAUAUGAAUUAAAUAAUUAUGUAACGUUAUUUUUACGUGAGUGAUUUUAUUAAAUACUCCUUUUUUCUUCAAAGUUUAUACGUGUACUUUGCAAUUUAUAAUAAGUUAUUGCCGUUUAGCUGCCCAAAAUAGUAUAAUUUAAGAAUAUUUUUAACUUAUACGAACAAUGAUGAUAACAUCUUCAAAAAAAAAAAAAACCAUUAUUCUUUUAAAAAAACGUUGUUUUUUUUGUACCUAUUAGACUUUUUUUUUUUUUUAUCUUUACUUAUUAUUCUUCAAGAAAUCAAUUUUAUACGUAUUCAUUGUAUACCUAAUCGUAUUCACAUCUUUGCGUGUACUACGUUACGAAAUACUCGAAAAUCGUAUUUGAAGACAAUCGUUCAUCUGUGUAUAUCUGAAUUUAUUUACUGAUAAUAUCGUGUAUAAAGUAAACAAAUAAUAUAUAAAAAGUCGUAAUAUUUUAUAUUUCUGUGUAUUACAUCCAGUAUUUUUCAUCUCGGUGUUUAUUUAAGAUGUAUAUUGCAUAUUACGAGUAUUGUGUUUUAUGUAUACACGUUUAUUUUAUUAAUAAAUGCAAAAUAGUUAUCAGAGAUAUUCAGUCAAGUUAAAGUUAAGUUAACUAAAAUAACAAACUAGUAAGUCAAAUUAAUAAAUUUAAAUUAACUUAACUCGUUAAUGCCUAGCCUUAUGCGUUAAUGUUGAUGACUGAUGAACGACUAAACAGUAUCGCCAUAUUGAACAUCAAAUCGGACAUUACAAAAAGUUUAAAGUAGGAUGAUAUAAUCAAUGAGUUUAGUUCAUUUAUACUCGAAAAAAAAAAUUGUAAAUAUUUAUUGUUUUGUAAUUAAAGUGGAUACCUAAAUACUAAACCUAUUUUUUAUUAUUUAGUUUAUUCAGUUUAUUAUUAGUUUGAAAUCUGCUUUCUUUUUUUUAUUAAUUUUUGUUCUAAAAAAGAUAACGAUAACGGGUGGUCACCGGAAAGUAAGCUCUGACGCGCUCGGAAGGAGGAAAAAGUAAAAUAAUUUUUUUUUUCGUUGUGUAAGGGGAGGGUGGAAAAAUAUUAUUACAUUCGGGCGCCAAAUUUCUGAAUAGGUCUUUGAUUGAUAAUGUAACAUACAAUUAUAUUAUAUUUGUAUAACGCAAUAACAUAAUUAUUAUAAUUCAUUCACUCGCUUACGCCUACCUUUGACUAUUUCAACACCCUAUUGAUAUACGAUUAUAUUAUCAUCAACAAACCUUUUGACAACGGGGUUGAAUUUACCAACGAAAUAAUAAUUAUUUUAAUAAAUAUCUGUCUUGGUACGCGUGCGACGUGCGUAUUUUUUAUUCCCGUUUUGGUAGUUUUUCUUGUCGUAGCGUAUUCGUUAAUGACAAUGUGAUACUGAUAAUAUAUACAUAACAGUAUUUGCCAUAAAAAUAAUUACAACAAUAAAAUUCGAAUUUCUCGUCUUUUAUGUAUACGGCAACGGGUGUGUAGACGAGGUAUAUUUCAUCGAUACCAAAAUCCCCAGGGAAAUAAUAUACAUUUAUUCUAAAAAAAAAAAUAAAAUAAUAAUAAAUGGUUUUUUAUAUAAUAUACAGUUAUAAGUUGUAUAAUAUACAAUUUAUAAGAUCGUUUUAUUUUUAAAAAAAGUUUUAAAAAUCGUGUACGAUUUAGAUUUUAUCUAUAUCUACGUCGACUAUUUUUUUUUUUUUUUAUUAAAUAGCAUUCAUUAUUUAAUCUACCCUUCGAAAAUAAAAUGACUUGACGAUAUAUUAGGUAUUAUAUAUUGUUGGGUCGAUAAAUACGAAAAAUUACGAUAAGAUAACAUAAAGUUAGUUUUAAGGUCCGCUUUUUUUAUUUGCAGAUAAAUUGCGCAAACAUAAUUAACCUAAUAGGUCAAAUUAUAAAUAGGUAUAAGUAUGAUAUUAGGAUUUAUUUAAUCUCAAGCCAGUGGAUUGCUCAAUAUUAUCUAUACCAGUAUUUUCCAACGUAGGGAGCAUUUAUUAUGUUAUUUUUAUUUUAGAAUGUAGGAAAAAAAUGAAAAAAAAAUAACGAGUUACCGAAUAUCGAUAAAGAUUACGAAAAUGGCCUACAUUUAUAUAGGGACGACAGGGGGCAGUUGUCCGGGUGACUGGGUUGAAAAUAUAGCUUAAAGUUUUAUAAAAGAAGAAUGUUUUUAAAGAUUUAUUUGCUUAUCAGCCUUUAUACGAAUAUUAUAUUAUGUCCUAAUUAUGAGUGUUAAGCGGUUGUGAGUGUUACGAUUAAUCGAUACGAUGAUGCCAACGAAUUUAUUAGAGGAGAGGAGAACGAGAUUUUUGAAAAUCUACAAAGAAAGCUUAGAAUAAAAAAAAGUGGAAACCACGAAUCUACAUCUCCGAAGAUUUCGAGUUAAUUUUCGAUUUCUUAUUUUUUUUUCUAAUAGUCAUCAGUGUUUGUUCAUCACUAUUAUUAUUACCGUUAUUAGAGAAUCGUUGAACGGUCUUAUUUACAGUGUUUUUAAAAUGUUGUCCUCAUUUCGUAUGAAUUAAAUAUCACCCAUUAGGAAGCAUCGAUUUUUGGUUUUCGAAUAACUACUCAUAUUUUAUAUUCUGAACGGAACGAGUAAUCUAUUGGUUUUAUAAUGAUUUAUUUAUAUAACUAGUAAAUGAAUACCACAUCUUUUCUUCAAAAUAAACACUGACCUAGUUAUAUAAUAUGUUUAAUAUUAAAUAAAUAUUAUCAUUAAAAGUCUAUACGUGAAUUGGCCCAAAUAACCUGUUACUCGUAAAACAUAAAAACAUAAAUACAAAUAUAAAAUAAAAUAUUACAUUUUUUGUUCAAUUGAUCUAAAUAAAAAUUAAUCAUAAAAAAUCGUUUCAGGAAGAAUUCGCUCAACUCUUCAGACAGUUGGAAACGCUCAAAGACAAAAAUCUGAGGCUGGGCAACCGACAACUGGUCGACAAGAUAUCGGCGAUGCAGGACGUCAGCAAGCGGGGCGUGUGGUCGACGAACGUGGACAAGAAACAGACCCUCGUUGGCGGCAGUGGUGGUUACGCGUUCGCCAACAACCACAACCACGGUUGCCAUGGUCACCCGCUGGGUGGUAGUCAAAAGUCGCUGGUUGUCAAUCAAAAUGGCAAAAAACCGUUCGUGAAAGAGGUGACGGUGUAACCUUUCAAGUCUGUGUUCUCGGUGUCACGCGUCUACUGUCUGAAACCACCUGGCUGAUUGCUACGGUGGCUGCUUUCACUCUCAAAAGAAUCGGGUCCGAAAAACGGAAAACACUCUACUAUCACUUAUCUCGGCCAGCUAACGGGCGCGAUAAAAAAUAACAAAAACAAAAAAAAAAAAUGUUUCGGCUCACGUGUAUACCUACCUAUUAUGAGAAAUAAUUUUUGAAAAAACCAUUUUAAUUUCAACAAAAUAUCUUAAUGUCAUGUUAAAUUUGUAAUUCGCGUUCACUGUGUGCAUAAUAUUAUAUUAUU